rnacentral:rRNA from 1 species
UACGUAGGGGGCGAGCGUUGUCCGGAAUUAUUGGGCGUAAAGAGCGUGUAGGCGGUUCGGUAAGUCUGCCGUGAAAACCUGGGGCUCAACCCCGGGCGUGCGGUGGAUACUGCCGGGCUAGAGGGUGGUAGAGGCGAGUGGAAUUCCUGGUGUAGCGGUGAAAUGCGCAGAUAUCAGGAGGAACACCAAUGGCGAAGGCAGCUCGCUGGGACGUGACUGACGCUGAGACGCGAAAGCGUGGGGAGCAAACAGG